rnacentral:rRNA from 1 species
UACGGGGGGGGCAAGCGUUGUUCGGAAUUACUGGGCGUAAAGGGCUCGUAGGCGGCCAACUAAGUCAGACGUGAAAUCCCCAGGCUCAACCCUGGAAGGCCGGUGGAAACUGUCGGGCUAGAGUCCGGAAGAGGCGAGUGGAAUUCCCGGUGUAGCGGUGAAAUGCGCAGAUAUCGGGAGGAACACCAAUGGCGAAGGCAGCUCGCUGGGACGGUACUGACGCUGAGACGCGAAAGCGUGGGGAGCAAACAGG